rnacentral:rRNA from 1 species
GAUGAACGCUGGCGGCGUGCCUAAUACAUGCAAGUCGAGCGAACAGACGAGGAGCUUGCUCCUUUGACGUUAGCGGCGGACGGGUGAGUAACACGCGGGUAACCUACCUAUAAGACAGGGAUAACUUCGGGAAACCGGAGCUAAGACCGGAUAAUAUUUCGAACCGCAUGGUUCGAUAGUGAAAGAUGGCUCUGCUAUCACUUAUAGAUGGACCUCGGCCGUAUUAGCUAGUUGGUAAGGUCACGGCUUAGCAAGGCAACGCUACGUAGCCGACCUGAGAGGGUGGUCGGUCACACUGGAACUAUGACACGUGCCAGGGCCCUGGGGGAGGCAGCAAUAGGGAAUUUUGCGCAAUAGUCGAAAGCCUGACGGAGGAACGCCGCGUGAGUGAUGAAGGCCUUGCGACCGUAAUGCUCUGUUAUGAGGGAAGAACAAACUUUUAAGUACCUGGGCUCGUCUUGACGGUACCUAAUCAGAAAGCCACGGCUAACUACGUG